AUUGAACGCUGGCGGCAGGCCUAACACAUGCAAGUCGAGCGGAAGAAGGGAGCUUGCUCCUGGCUUCAGCGGAGGACGGGAGAGUAACGCCUAGGCAUCUGCCUGGGAGUGGGGGAUAACGUCGGGAAACGGGCGCUAAUACCGCACACGUCAUGAGGGAGAAAGUGGGGGAUCUUCGGACCUCACGCUCUCAGAUGAGCCUAGGUCGGAUUAGCUAGUUGGUGGGGUAAAGGCUUACCAAGGCGACGAUCUGUAGCUGGUCUGAGAGGAUGAUCAGCCACACUGGAACUGAGACACGGCCCAGACUCCUACGGGAGGCAGCAGUGGGGAAUUUUGGACAAUGGGCGAAAGCCUGAUCCAGCCAUGCCGCGUGUGGGAUGAAGGUCUUCGGGUUGUAAAGUGCUUUUGGUUGGGAGGAAGGGCAGUAAGUUAAUACCGAGCUGUCUUGACGGUACCGACAGAAUAAGCACCGGCUAACUACGUG
rnacentral:rRNA from 1 species